CACCGCUGGGAUUCGAACCCAGGAUCUCCUGUUUACUAGACAGGCGCUUUAACCAACUAAGCCACGGCGCCUCGUGGCGACACCUAGAAAAUUUGACAUCAAGAAUAUCCGAGUCGGCUACUAUUCAUGACCUCAGUGAACUUGUUCCUAUAUUAAACACAUUUAGACUUUGAAAUCUCGUAACUUCUCCGUAAUUCUGAUUCACGUUGGCAUAUGAUCCUUCUAAACACACACACACACACACACACACACUUUUUAAGCUAUUUAUGAGUUUAAAUAUAUUUCGUCAAGUAACUUUAUCUCUGCCAGUUUUGAUGUAGUACACAAUUCAGAAUUUCGACCAUAGAGCUCCGUGAAAAACAACUGCAUUACUGCGGUUGUUUAUAUAACGCACGAAGCUAAAGCUAAUGCUAAUAGUGCAAACCAGCAAAUAAAUCUCCAGCCACGAGGUGGCAGCGCGUCCUACGAGACCAAGAGCGAGCGGAACAUGACGUUUUAAACAGUGAACCUACAGUAUAUCACAGUCUGAGGCACUGGAAAUUUUAAACAGUGAAAACUGUCGAAAUCGCGAUUAACCAAUCUCAUACUCAACACUCACAACUGAUACAAUGCAGCCACACCAUACAAGCUAAAUUCUGAGUCACUGUGGUUCUUUCCAUGUAUGUAACUUUCACUGAUGUCGCCAUCCCAGAAAUAGGGUCUAACAGAGAGAUAAAGAAAACCACGAAUUAUUCAUUCAACCGCUUCAGCAACAGCAUCGUUCAGGAAUUUCGUGUUCUCAUUCUAACAGUUUUCACAUUCUGUUUAUUCACCGGCGCGAUCUGUUCUUUAUGGAAGCUUGAAUCAUCACAGAAGAAAGUGAUAGGGUUCACCUCAAACACAUGUUUUAUGUCACAUGGCCAAAAACUAAAAGUCCAAGCCAUGGUUUUCCAAGUGAUGUAAUAUCCUGUAAACCACAAUGCCCCAGAGUUUGGCUUUUGCAGAACAGCAUGUCUUCUGUAUACAGCAUCUUAAGGGUCCCACUUUUUCCAUUCUGUCUUGAACACACACACCAAAGACCAUGUGAAUCACUGUGGUCUCAUAGAGUCAUCUUCCUGAGCACUGGGAAAAUACAGAUGAACACUUCCUGAACCAUCCCAGACAGUGACUGUGGGGAAACACACUGUAUCAAGCACCAGUUAAUGUGGCUGUGGAUGUGCGUGCAGAUGAGGAGAAGAUUCUGACCACAGUUUGUACUCUGACUUUAACCACAGCUUCCAUUCCUAGGCACCGCAGCCACGAAACAGAAUAUAAACUCAUCAUCAGUUGAGGCUGCAAAUCAUCACUUUCUAUAGUUGGUCAUCCACACAAGUGUCAGAGCAGCAUCUAGGCAUGCUCCUGAUGAGAUAAUGGAUGGUAUCCUUGGGAUCUUCUGCCAGACCUGGAUCAGGGCAUCAGUGAGCUCCUGGACAAUCUGUGGUGUUACUUGGUGGCUGUGGAUGCUCCGAUACAUAACAGAGGAAUUCAUCCCAGUACCUGAGAGCAGUAAGGGUAGCAUUGGAUAGCACGUCUUUGUGGCCCUCCCAAGUACAUUCCUCCCCAGACCACCCACCGCCAAACUGAUCAUGCUGGAUGAUGUUGCAGGCAACAUAACAUUCCCCAUGGCAUCUACAGACUCUUUAACUUCUGUCACAUGUGCUCAGUGUGAACCUGCUCUCAAGAGAAUGGGGCGCCAGCAGUGGGCCGGCCAAUUCUGGUGUACUCUGGAAAAUGCCAAUCGAGUUGCAUGCUGCUGGGCUGUGAGCACAGGUCCCACUAGAGGAUGUCAGGCUCCCAUGCCACCCGUAUGAAAUCUGAUUCUGACAGUUUAAUCAGAAACAUGCACACCAGUAGCCUACUGGAGGUCAUUUUGUAAGGCUCUGGCAAUGCUCCUCCUGUUCCUCUUUACACAAAGGAGCAGAUACUGGUCCUGCUGCUGAAUUGUUGCAUUUAUACGGUCCUGUCCAGCGCUCCUUGUAAUGGCCCAUCAUCUGGUAUCUCCUUCAUUCUCUUGAAACUUGACUUGGUUAUAUAAUAAAUAAGCUUCUUGAAAACUGGGUUUAAUUAAAUGGGAUGAUUUGCCAGAUGUUUAUUUGUGCAAUAUGAAAUGAGAAAAACAAGAUACUUGGCAAGUAAAUGAGGCAAGAGGUGAUGUUCAAGAUUUCUAGGCUAUGAAGUUAAAUAAAGGCUAUGAACAUCUGAAAAGCAUUUCACUUUAAUAAUUUCUUGUUCAUUAUCACUUUAUCACUCAUCAGCACUUUUUAGUCUAGAAUAGAUUCCUUAAAUCCACAUAAAUCAAGAUAUUUCACUUUGAAGAGCCUUAAUCAGCAUGGCUGGCAUUUUCCAUGGACACUACACAGAAGUUAAGCAAGUUUCUGAUCAGUCAGAAUGUAGCAUUCAAUUCAAUUCAAGUUUAUUUGUAUAGCGCUUUUACAAUACAAAUCGUUGCAAAGCAGCUUUACAGGAAAUUAAGUUUCUACAAUAUAUUUAUAUAUUGUAGAAACUUAAUAUAUUUAACUUAUGGCAAAAUUUGUUAAUUCUAUAUGUUGUGUGAGGGUUGGCAUCCUCUGAAGUCCUGAGGUACAGUUAGAAAUACAUCAGCAGAAUCUUGCUUAUAGACAUAGGGAGUAGAUGUAGGUUCAUAUUUUGCGUUUUCAUUUUAUUCGUUAAGUUCAUAUUGAGUUCUGUAAAUGUCUAAAUGAAUUAUACUCUUCAAUGGCUCUGAUAUACUGAUUUCAUGUUUCUGAGAAAAGAUAUCUCCCUUUCUCAACGGCAAGAUGCUCCCACAUUUGUGUUCCACUAGGUUCUCCUCAGCCACAUCUGGUG